rnacentral:lncRNA from 1 species
UUUUCCCGCCUUUUCCCCUCACGAUUUUCCCGCCUUUUCCCCUCACGAUUUUCCCGCCUUUUCCUCCAUCUUGUGAUCCCAUCCCCUCACGAUUUUCCUGCCUUUUCCCCUCACAAUUUUCCCACCUUUUCCCCUCACGAUUUUCCUUUCUCUCCUCCAUGUUCUCACCCCGUCCCCUCACGAUUUCCCCGCAGGAGGAGGGGCUCAAAUUGACCUUCCAGAAACAUCGGCUGGGGCCCAACGGGGCCCAACGGGCGCAAAACCCCCCGAAGAAAAACAGCAAGAAACUGGUGGAGCUGGAGCUGCGCUGCCUCGAGGGGCUCCGGGACCCCCCUGGGGGACCCCGAGGGGGGCCCUGGGGGCCCCUCCCCCCCACCGCGGCGACGGCCCCGAAUUCUCCGACCCCCGGCUGCUCCCGUUCGUGGAGCAGCGGCGGGAAAAGUGGCACCGGAAAAAGUUCAUCCCCUCCCCCCCCUCAGGUUUGGACCUUUCCAAGAUGGUGGCGUUGAUGGGGGGCGGAGCCAGCAGCGCAGGGGGCGUGGCCUCUCCUUCCUUAGCCCCGCCCCCGCGCUUCCGGCCGGAAGCAGAAGAGGAAGCGGAAGCAGGGAGCGGGUGCUGCCCCCUGCUGGCCGACCCCAUGUUGCCACCCACUUCCGACUCGGAUUAAGCCCCGCCCCUUUUCCUGCCGGGGCCACGCCCCCCUUCCCAUAUUUAUAUAAAUAUGUAAAAUGUCUCUGUGUCAUAGGGGGCGGGGCGGGGGGCGGGGCUGAGCGGGGCGGGGCCGAGCAGGGCGGGGUCAAUGUGGGCAGGGCUGGUGGGAUGGGAGGGGCCUGGCGGGUUUUUUUUAAUAAAAGGUUUGGAAAUGGAGCA